rnacentral:rRNA from 1 species
AGUGAACGCUGGCGGUAGGCCUAACACAUGCAAGUCGAACGGCAGCACAGUAAGAGCUUGCUCUUACGGGUGGCGAGUGGCGGACGGGUGAGGAAUACAUCGGAAUCUACUUUUUCGUGGGGGAUAACGUAGGGAAAUUUACGCUAAUACCGCAUACGACCUACGGGUGAAGGCAGGGGAUCUUCGGACCUUGCGCGAUUGAAUGAGCCGAUGUCGGAUUAGCUAGUUGGCGGGGUAAAGGCCCACCAAGGCGACGAUCCGUAGCUGGUCUGAGAGGAUGAUCAGCCACACUGGAACUGAGACACGGUCCAGACUCCUACGGGAGGCAGCAGUGGGGAAUAUUGGACAAUGGGCGCAAGCCUGAUCCAGCCAUACCGCGUGGGUGAAGAAGGCCUUCGGGUUGUAAAGCCCUUUUGUUGGGAAAGAAAAGCAGCAGGUUAAUACCCCGCUGUUCUGACGGUACCCAAAGAAUAAGCCCCGGCUAACUUCGUG